GUGGCUCAUUUCGUAUCCAAAAAUAUCUGAAAGCCAGCCAAUGAAGUAUGACCUGGUCAUCCUCAGCUUCCUUCAAGAGACAAGAAAAUAUGACUGCUGCACUCCCUAAACACUCCCUGGAGUUUUAUCUGGUGUGAUCACAUCCUGUUCCCAGCAAAACCAUCUGAGCUUUACCAAACAGUGGAUGCUGGAUGUGCACGGAGAAACAAACAUUUCUGGCUUUACAGCAAACAUCCCCACCGGUCCCAGAGUGGAGUGUUUUGCAGACUUGCUCAGUGGAGAGAUGAACCAGAUCUGAAGAGCGGAGAUGCACAACUGCAUGACUGACACAUGACACAGGAGCACACACCUAGCAAACCAGACCUGUUUCAAGUUAAAUUCAUGUCCUUUUAAUUUUGCACAAUGCAAAAAAUCUGCACCUUUUGGCAAGUGCAGCAGAUACGCCACAAGCAAAGCUAUUGACCUGGGGAAGUGAACCUCAGAGACUGCUCCCAACUCUACCACCCAAUGAUCUUGAUCUGCUACAAAAUAAUGCUCUCCCACCAGAUUCCCAAGCCGAUGGGAUUCAAUACAUUACUUUUACAAUGAUGUCUUUUACAAUGUUGAAUAGUGAGUUCAGUAUGGGUGAAAGCUGCUGUGUUUACUCAUCUUAAACAAAUUUUCACAUAUGAAAAUGAGCACACAGGGAAGAAACCUGGAAGGUGGGAAAUUGAGCCUCAGUGCUACAUGUCGAAAAGCAGAUUUAGUAAUAAUAAUAAAAGAAAAAUUGAUCCA